CCUACGGGUGGCUGCAGUGGGGGAUAUUGCACAAUGGGGGAACCCCUGAUGCAGCGACGCCGCGUGAGUGAAGAAGUAUUUCGGUAUGUAAAGCUCUAUCAGCAGGGAAGAAAAUGACAGUACCUGACCAAGGAGCCCCGGGUUACUACGUGACAGCAGCCGCGGUAAUAGGUAGGGGUCAAGCGUUAUCCGGAUUUAUUUGGUGUAAAGGGAGCGUAGACGGUUAUGUAAGGCUGGAGUGAAAGCCGCGGGCCCAACCCCGGGACUGCUGUGGAAAAUGUGUAACUGGAGUACAGGAGGGGCAGGCGGAAUUCCUGGUGUAGCGGUGAAAUGCGUAGAUAUCAGGAGGAACACCGGCGGCGAAGGCGGCCUGCUGGACUGAAACUGACGUUGAGGCUCGAAAGCGUGGGGAGCAAACAGGAUUAGAUACCCUUGUAGUC
rnacentral:rRNA from 1 species